rnacentral:rRNA from 1 species
UUGCUGAAUACACGACCGGCGCACGGGUGAGUAACACGUAUGCAACCUUCCUCUAACUGGAGAAUAGCCCGAGGAAGUGCGGAUUAAUACUCCAUAAAGUCAAUUUAAGGCAUCUUUUAUUGAUUAAAGCUCCGGCGGUUAGAGAUGGGCAUGCGUGUCAUUAGCUAGUUGGUGAGGUAACGGCUCACCAAUGCCACGAUGACUAGGGGGUCUGAGAGGAUGAUCCCCCACACUGGUACUGAGACACGGACCAGACUCCUACGGGAGGCAGCAGUGAGGAAUAUUGGGCAAUGGACGCAAGUCUGACCCAGCCAUGCCGCGUGCAGGAUGACUGCCCUAUGGGUUGUAAACUGCUUUUGUUUGGGAAGAAACCCCCGAUCGUGAUCGGGGCUGACGGUACCAUACGAAUAAGCAUCGGCUAACUCCGUGCCAGCAGCCGCGGUAAUACGGAGGAUGCAAGCGUUAUCCGGAUUCAUUGGGUUUAAAGGGUGCGCAUGCGGAAUAUUAAGUCAGUGGUGAAAUCCUGCAGCUUAACUGUAGAACUGCCAUUGAUACUGAUAUUCUUGAAUAUAGUUGAGGUGGGCGGAAUGUGUACUGUAGCGGUGAAAUGCUUAGAUAUUACACAGAACACCAAUUGCGAAGGCAGCUCACUAAACUAAUAUUGACGCUGAGGCACGAAAGCGUGGGUAGCAAACAGGAUUAGAUACCCUGGUAGUCCACGCUGUAACCU